rnacentral:rRNA from 1 species
AGUAAAUAGAUACCCCGGUAGUCCCAGCUGUAAACGAUGCGCGUUAGGUGUAUCGGUGACCACGAGUCACCGAGGUGCCGAAAGGGAAAAACCGUGAAACGUGCCGCCUGGGAAGUACGGUCGCAAGGCUGAAACUUAAAGGAAUUGGCGGGGGAGCACCACAACAGGUGGAGCCUGCGGUUUAAUCGGACUCAACGCCGGGAAGCUCACCGGAUAAGACAGCUGAAUGAUAGCCGGGUUGAAGACUCUGCUUGACUAGCUGAGAGGAGGUGCAUGGCCGUCGUCAGUUCGUACUGUGAAGCAUCCUGUUAAGUCAGGCAACGAGCGAGACCCACGCCAACAGUUGCCAGCAUGUCCUCCGGGAUGGUGGGGUACACUGUUGGGUACCGCCUCUGCUAAACGAGGAGGAAGGAACU